rnacentral:rRNA from 1 species
GACGAACGCUGGCGGCGUGCUUACCACUGCCAGUUCGAACGGAAAGGCCCUGCUUGCAGGUUACUCAAUUGCCGAACGGGGGAUUAACACUUGGUUGAUCUCCCCUGCCCUUCGGGUUAAGCCUGGGAAAUUGGUUCUAUUACCGGUUAGGGGCCAUUUUUAUUGUGAUGUUUGGAAAGUUUUUUCGGUGUAGGAUGAGCUCGCGGCCUAUCAGCUUGUUGGUGGGGUAAUGGCCUACCAAGGCGGCGACGGGUAGCCGGCCUGAGAGGGUGGACGGCCACAUUGGGACUGAGAUACGGCCCAGACUCCUACGGGAGGCAGCAGUGGGGAAUAUUGCACAAUGGGCGCAAGCCUGAUGCAGCGACGCCGCGUGGGGGAUGACGGCCUUCGGGUUGUAAACUCCUUUCGCUAGGGACGAAGCUUUUUGUGACGGUACCUAGAUAAGAAGCACCGGCUAACUACGUG